CUCAUUUUUGCUCUUUUUAAUAAAUAGUUUACUGAAUAAUAGAAUUGAAGAGAAUAAUGGAAUACAGAUACUGAUCAUGUCUGGUUUCAUUUCAUCGUCUAGUACUCUAGACUAUUUUAUUACGUCAUAAUGAUAUUUUCUCCUCAUUUUUCAGCCACCCCUUUACAUCUCUGACAAUCACACUUAGUCGACUUACUUCACAGUGCACUGGAUUUAGUUAGAAGGAGAGGCAACUGCUCGUGCUAUUCGCUUAGCAGAUUUGUAAACACUCCUUUGUAUGUGGUUCAUGUCAUGAGCAUUGAUGCAAUGGAAGAAAUUGCGAAAGCCAGGACAUCAGGUUCUUAACUUCAAUCCUAGUAAUGUAUUCCAGAUUAUGUAGAGAAA